UACGGGGGGAGCAAGCGUUGUUCGGAUUUACUGGGCGUAAAGGGCGCGUAGGCGGCCCCGCAAGUCGACUGUGAAAUCUCCGGGCUUAACCCGGAAAGGUCAGCCGAUACUGCGGGGCUAGAGUGCAGAAGGGGCAACUGGAAUUCUCGGUGUAGCGGUGAAAUGCGUAGAUAUCGAGAGGAACACCUGCGGCGAAGGCGGGUUGCUGGGCUGACACUGACGCUGAGGCGCGAAAGCUAGGGGAGCGAACGGG
rnacentral:rRNA from 1 species